CAAAUGACUCUCGRCAAUGGAUAUCUCGGCUCUUGCAUCGAUGAAGAACGUAGUGAAAUGYGAUACUUGGUGUGAAUUGCAGAAUCYCGCGAACCAUUGAGUCUUUGAACGCAAGUUGUGCCCGAGGCCUUGUGGUUGAGGGCACGCCUGCUUGGGUGUCAUGAC
rnacentral:rRNA from 1 species